GCUUCCUAGAGAUGGAGGCAGGCUCCGUUGACCAUCAACCCUCCUAAAAGGGGGACUUUCCCAGGGGAGGAAUCAGAAGAUUCAGAUCCUGAGAGCCAGUCAACAUCUAAUGUUCAGUCUUAACGAUCCUGCCAAUGUUAACAAUCCAUGUGUGCGUCAGCAAAAUAAGAAUGGAUCCAGUCAUCACCCCACCCCACCUUUCCAUUAACCUCAGCAACUUAUAAAAGCUACUAUAUCAUCACUUUGCCUAGAAAACUUUCUCCAGGACUACAAGCCCUUACUUCCAGAAUUCCCUGGUGGCUCAGAGGUUAAAGCGUCUGCCUCCAAUGCAGGAGACCCAGAUUCGAUCCCUGGAUUGGGAAGAUCCCCUGGAGAAGGAAAUGGUAACCCACUCCAGUAUUAUUGCCUGGAGAAUCCCAUGGACGGAGAAGCCUGGAGACAUGGGUUCGACCCCUGGUCUGGGAAGUAUCCCUGGAGAAGGAAAUGGCAAAUAUUCCUGUGUAGAGAACCCCACAGACAGAUGAGCCCAGUGUGCUACAGUCCACGAGGUCACAAAGAGUCGGACACAACUUAGCAACUGAACAACAAGAGGAUAUUAAUCAACAAU
ensembl:lncRNA